rnacentral:rRNA from 1 species
GAAGCUGGAAUUGCUAGUAAUGGCAGGUCAGCAUACUGCCGUGAAUACGUUCCCGGGCCUUGUACACACCGCCCGUCACACCAUGAGAGUUGGGAAUACCCGAAGCCUGUGAGCUAACUUAUAGAGGCAGCAGUCGAAGGUAGAAUCAAUGAUUGGGGUGAAGUCGUAACAAGGUACC